rnacentral:rRNA from 1 species
CGGUGGAGCAUGUGGUUCAAUUCGAAGCAACGCGCAGAACCUUACCAACCUUUGACAUGUCCCGAUGAGCAACAGGGAUGACUUAGGCGGGAACGGGUGUGACGAGCGCAACCCUCGCCCUUAGUUGCCAUCGGGAUGUCAAGUCUCAUGGCCCUUACAGGUUGGCUACAUACAUGGCGGUGACAUGGGACGCAAUGGGGCAACCCUGCGCAUCUCAAAAAGCCGGUCUCAGUUCGGAUUGCUCUGCAACUCGAGAGCAUGAAGUUGGAAUCGCUAGUAAUCGAGAUCAGCACGCUGCGGUGAAUACGUUCCCGGGCCUUGUACACACCGCCGUCACACCAUGGGAGUUGGUUUUACCUGAAGGCGGUGCGCUAACCCGCAAGGGAGGCAGCCGACCACGUAGGAUCAGCGACUGGGGUGAAGUCGUACAAGGU